UUAAACCUCUUCCAGAGUAUCAAUUGGAGGGCAAGUCUGGUGCCAGCAGCCGCGGUAAUUCCAGCUCCAAUAGCGUAUAUUAAAAUUGUUGCAGUUAAAAAGCUCGUAGUUGAAUUUCUGCUGCAUUGCAUUUUCUCCUAUACGAGUUUUUGCAUUGUGGCUUAUUUCGGUUAUAAAUUUAUUUUAUUUCCGGAUGUUUACUUUGAGAAAAUUAGAGUGCUCAAAGCAGGCUUUUGCCUUGAAUAGUUUAGCAUGGAAUAAUAAAGUAGGACUUUGGUUCUAUU
rnacentral:rRNA from 1 species